CAAUAGCGUAUAUUAAAGUUGUUGCAGUUAAAAAGCUCGUAGUUGAAUUUUUGCUUGCCGCCGAUGUCGGAACUUCCGUACGUUCGGCGGCGUGCAUCCUUGGGUGGAAACUGUGUGGCAUUAGGUUGUCGUGCAGGGGAUGCUCAUCGUUUACUGUGAAAAAAUUAGAGUGUUCAAAGCAGGCUUACGCCGUUGAAUAUAUUAGCAUGGAAUAAUAAGAUAGGACCUUGGUACUAUUUUGUUGGUUUGCGCACCGAGGUAAUGAUUAACAGGGACAGUUGGGGGUAUUCGUAUUCCAUUGUCAGAGGUGAAAUUCUUGGAUUUCUGGAAGACGAACUACUGCGAAAGCAUUUACCAAGGAUGUUUUCAUUA
rnacentral:rRNA from 1 species